rnacentral:rRNA from 1 species
AUUGAACGCUGGCGGCAUGCCUUACACAUGCAAGUCGAACGGUAACGCGGGGCAACCUGGCGACGAGUGGCGAACGGGUGAGUAAUGCAUCGGAACGUGCCCAGUAGUGGGGGAUAGCCCGGCGAAAGCCGGAUUAAUACCGCAUACGACCUACGGGUGAAAGCGGGGGACCGUAAGGCCUCGCGCUAUUGGAGCGGCCGAUGUCAGAUUAGGUUGUUGGUGGGGUAAAGGCCUACCAAGCCGACGAUCUGUAGCUGGUCUGAGAGGACGACCAGCCACACUGGGACUGAGACAAGGCCCAGGCUCCUACGCGAGGCAGCAGUGGGGAAUUUUGGACAAUGGGGGCAACCCUGAUCCAGCCAUGCCGCGUGCGGGAAGAAGGCCUUCGGGUUGUAAACCGCUUUUGUCAGGGAAGAAACGCUCUGGGCUAAUACCCUGGGGUAAUGACGGUACCUGAAGAAUAAGCAGCGGCUAACUACGUGCCAGCAGCCGCAGUAA